ensembl:misc_RNA Metazoa_SRP Metazoan signal recognition particle RNA
GCUGGGCGUGGUGACGGGCGCCUGUAAUCCCAGCUACUUGGGAGGCUGAGGCAGGAGAAUCACUUGAACCCGGGGGCAGAGGUUGCAGUGAGCCAAGAUCGUACCACUGCACUCCAGCCUGGGUGACAGAGUGAGACUCCGUCUCAA